rnacentral:rRNA from 1 species
AUUGAACGCUGGCGGCAGGACUAACACAUGCAAGUCGAACGGCAGCGGGGGGUAGCUUGCUACCCUGCCGGCGAGUGGCGGACGGGUGCGUAAUGCCUGGGGAGCUGCCCAAUCGAGGGGGAUACCAGUUGGAAACGACUGCUAAUACCGCAUACGCCCUGAGGGGGAAAGGUGGGGCUCUUCGGACCUACCGCGAGUGGAUGCACCCAGGUGGGAUUAGCUAGUUGGUGAGGUAACGGCUCACCAAGGCGACGAUCUCUAGCUGGUCUGAGAGGAUGACCAGCCACACUGGAACUGAGACACGGUCCAGACUCCUACGGGAGGCAGCAGUGGGGAAUAUUGCACAAUGGGGGAAACCCUGAUGCAGCCAUGCCGCGUGUGUGAAGAAGGCCUUAGGGUUGUAAAGCACUUUCAGUGGGGAGGAAAGGGUGGAAGCUAAUACCUUUCAUCUGUGACGUUACCCACAGAAGAAGCACCGGCUAACUCCGUGCCAGCCGCCGCAGUAACAC